rnacentral:rRNA from 1 species
UAGGGAAUCUUCCACAAUGGACGAAAGUCUGAUGGAGCAACGCCGCGUGAGUGAAGAAGGUCUUCGGAUCGUAAAGCUCUGUUGUUGGUGAAGAAGGAUAGAGGCAGUAACUGGUCUUUAUUUGACGGUAAUCAACCAGAAGGUCACGGCUAACUACGUGCCAC